UACGAAGGGGGCUAGCGUUGCUCGGAAUUACUGGGCGUAAAGGGAGCGUAGGCGGACAUUUAAGUCAGGGGUGAAAUCCCAGAGCUCAACUCUGGAACUGCCUUUGAUACUGGGUGUCUUGAGUGUGAGAGAGGUAUGUGGAACGCCGAGUGUAGAGGUGAAAUUCGUAGAUAUUCGGAAGAACACCAGUGGCGAAGGCGACAUACUGGCUCAUUACUGACGCUGAGGUGCGAAAGCGUGGGGAGCAAACAGG
rnacentral:rRNA from 1 species